GAUGAACGCUGGCGGCGUGCCUAAUACAUGCAAGUCGAGCGAACGGACGAGAAGCUUGCUUCUCUGAUGUUAGCGGCGGACGGGUGAGUAACACGUGGAUAACCUACCUAUAAGACUGGGAUAACUUCGGGAAACCGGAGCUAAUACCGGAUAAUAUUUUGAACCGCAUGGUUCAAAAGUGAAAGACGGUCUUGCUGUCACUUAUAGAUGGAUCCGCGCUGCAUUAGCUAGUUGGUAAGGUAGCGGCUUACCAAGGCAACGAUGCAUAGCCGACCUGAGAGGGUGAUCGGCCACACUGGAACUGAGACACGGUCCAGACUCCUACGGGAGGCAGCAGUAGGGAAUCUUCCGCAAUGGGCGAAAGCCUGACGGAGCAACGCCGCGUGAGUGAUGAAGGUCUUCGGAUCGUAAAACUCUGUUAUUAGGGAAGAACAUAUGUGUAAGUAACUGUGCACAUCUUGACGGUACCUAAUCAGAAAGCCACGGCUAACUACGCG
rnacentral:rRNA from 1 species